UAGACCUUACCUUACUAAUCAUAAUGAGGUAAUGAACCUCUACUAAUUAACAAGCAUGAAGAAAAUAAGAGCUAGAAAAAACUAAGUAUUCUCUGAUCAUCACAUAGUUUAUAAUGCACUCCAUGAAUAUUGCAAAUGAGGAUGCUUAAUAAAUGCAAAAAUAAAAAAACUAAGAAUAAAGUUGAGUUACCAACCUCAAACUUUAUUUUAUAUAUGUAUAAUCUAAAACAAAUAGCUUGACCGUCUAAAGUAACUUGAAAUAUUUUCUUUUUGUCUUCUUCUUCAACUUUGUCCAACAACACUUGAUGGUUCAUCACUUCUUCUUAGAUUUAUUGGAUCUUGUUAAAGUUGUUAACACUGUCAUAUGAUCUGCUUUGCCAGUCGCAUCGGUAGUUUAGUACAUGUACCUUUAUUUAUUUCUAUUCAUU